UCUCCGCAGCCCGGGUCAACCAGCCGACGGUGGCGGAACGGCGGGCAGGUCGGCGGAGUUAGAUGGCCGCAAAGCCGGGUCCACCAAAUGUCGGCGGCGAGCGCUGGCUUUGAUGGUUAACUUGGGAUUUCUAAGUAUUCUGUGGACAGUCGAGGGCUGGAAAAAAAACAGAAACAUGAAUUUGAUUGGUUUCACAAGAGACAUGGCAGACCAAAGAACAUACGAUGAGUACUUUGCUAAAUGCCCUGUUUAUUCUCCCAACCGGGCUCAUAAAAGUACGGACACAUUUGGUGGGUUGAGAGAUCUCUAUGUAGUCGUGACCCUGUAAUUAUACUUGACGAGAGCGGUGAUGACAGACAGGCGGCACAGAAAUCUGCCCUUCUUUGGUGCCAAUUGAGCAUGGUGACAACAGAUUGUCUUCCUCUGUUGCCCAGGCUGGAGUGCAGUGGUGAGAUCUCGGGGAAAAACGUGGCCGGCCGGAGUCCUCCCACAGACGACAGUGCCUUCCCGGCAGCAUCUCCGCCGGGCCCAAGAGGGUCGUGGAGUCGCUGGCUUCCUCCCAGGGUACUUUGGAUACCCAGCCGUGGGAUUGCUAGAUCAGACAGAGCCAAUUGAUGAUCAGCAGGGCCUGAAAAUGCCAAAACCCUGAAACAACUGACCUUCGAAAACUUCAACAUCCCUGAACGAAACGUCCAAACACAUUUAUCCACCAAUCAAAGACCCUUUAUAGUCUGUGCUCUGUGCAUCUCAGAAGUCUCUCUUUACCACACUGUCUAUAUACUGCAUGAGCCAUUAUAUGAAACUCCAAGGCAUCUUAUACUAUAUAUUCAACCAUGUAUCCCUAGUACCUAGUACAGUCCUGCCAUAUAGUUUGCUACUAAACAUUUGCAGAAUGAAGUAAUUAUCUUGUAUCCAGGUUCCAAGUUUUAAGGUGAUUUCUCACUAAAAAUAAAGCAUUACAGUUCGCA
rnacentral:lncRNA from 1 species